ACCUACCUCGAAGUGAGGGAUACCGGCGAGAAAUGGCCGACAAUCCCGCAUAGGUUUCUUUCUUCCUGAGGAAGCGGGAAACAAAGCUGUUGUCGCGAGACGAGGGCGCUUUGAGAUGGGCCCGCGGCCGAUUAGCUAGUUGGUGGGGUAAGAGCCUACCAAGGCUGCGAUCGGUAGCUGGUCUGAGAGGACGAUCAGCCACACUGGGAUUGAGAACGGCCCAG
rnacentral:rRNA from 1 species